rnacentral:rRNA from 1 species
UACGAAGGGGGCUAGCGUUGCUCGGAAUGACUGGGCGUAAAGGGCGCGUAGGCGGCGGUCACAGUCAGAUGUGAAAUUCCUGGGCUUAACCUGGGGGCUGCAUUUGAUACGUGGUUGCUUGAGUGGGGAAGAGGGUCGUGGAAUUCCCAGUGUAGAGGUGAAAUUCGUAGAUAUUGGGAAGAACACCGGUGGCGAAGGCGGCGACCUGGUCCUUGACUGACGCUGAGGCACGAAAGCUAGGGGAGCAAACAGG